UCGCAAGAUUAAAACUCAAAGGAAUUGACGGGGCCCGCACAAGCGGUGGAGCAUGUGGUUUAAUUCGACGCGACGCGCAGAACCUUACCAACCCUUGACAUACUUGUCGCGGAUUCCAGAGAUGGAUUCCUUCAGUUCGGCUGGACAAUGUACAGGUGCUGCAUGGCUGUCGUCAGCUCGUGUCGUGAGAUGUUCGGUUAAGUCCGGCAACGAGCGCAACCCACGUCCUUAGUUACCAGCAUUUAGUUGGGUACCCUAAGGAGACUGCCGGUGAUAAGCCGGAGGAAGGUGUGGACGACGUCAAGUCAUCAUGGCCCUUACGGGUUGGGCUACACACGUGCUACAAUGGCAUCUACAGUGAGUUAAUCUCCAAAAGAUGUCUCAGUUCGGAUUGGGGUCUGCAACUCGACCCCAUGAAGUUGGAAUCGCUAGUAAUCGCGGAACAGCAUGCCGCGGUGAAUACGUUCCCGGGCCUUGUACACACCGCCCGUCACACCAUGGGAAUUGGGUCUACCCGAAGGUGGUGCGCCAACUAUUUAUAGGGGCAGCCAACCACGGUAGGUUCAGUGACUGGGGUG
rnacentral:rRNA from 1 species